rnacentral:tRNA from 1 species
GUCCCAGUAGCGUAGUGAUAAGUGCACAGCCCCGGAUAGGUUGAGACGCGGGUUCGAAUCCCGCCUGAGAUG